rnacentral:rRNA from 1 species
UACGUAGGUGGCAAGCGUUGUCCGGAUUUACUGGGCGUAAAGGAUGCGUAGGCGGACAUUUAAGUCAGAUGUGAAAUACCCGAGCUUAACUUGGGUGCUGCAUUUGAAACUGGGUGUCUAGAGUGCAGGAGAGGUAGGUGGAAUCCCUAGUGUAGCGGUGAAAUGCGUAGAGAUUAGGAAGAACACCAGUGGCGAAGGCGACUUACUGGACUGUAACUGACGCUGAGGCAUGAAAGCGUGGGGAGCAAACAGG